rnacentral:tRNA from 1 species
CAGUAGCUCAGCAGGUUAGAGCAGCGGACUCAUAAUCCGUCGGUCGUCGGUUCAAGUCCGGCCUGGG